AUUGAACGCUGGCGGCAGGCCUAACACAUGCAAGUCGAACGAGUGGCGGACGGGUGAGUAUGUCUGGGAAACUGCCUGAUGGAGGGGGAUAACUACUGGAAACGGUAGCUAAUACCGCAUACCAUCAGAUGUUCCCAGAUGGGAUUAGCUUGUUGGUGGGGUAACGGCUCACCAAGGCGACGAGCCCUAGCUGGUCGGAGAGGAUGACCAGCCACCCUGGAACGUAGACACGGGCCAGACGCCUAGGGGCGGCAGCAGUGGGGAAUAUUGGACAAUGGGCGCAAGCCUGAUGCAGCCAUGCCGCGUGUAUGAAGAAGGCCUUCGGGUUGUAAAGUACUUUCAGCGGGGAGGCGUUACCCGCAGAAGAAGCACCGGCUAACUCCGUGCCAGCAGCCGCGGUAAUAC
rnacentral:rRNA from 1 species